rnacentral:rRNA from 1 species
AACGAACGCUGGCGGCAUGCCUAACACAUGCAAGUCGAACGAGACCUUCGGGUCUAGUGGCGCACGGGUGCGUAAAGCGUGGGAAUCUGCCCUUGGGUUCGGAAUAACAGUUAGAAAUGACUGCUAAUACUGGAUGAUGACUUCGGUCCAAAGAUUUAUCGCCCAAGGAUGAGCCGUCGUAGGUUUAGCUAGUUGGUAGAGUAAAGGCCUACCAAGGGGACGAUCCUUAGCUGGUAUGAGAGGAUGAUCAGCCACACUGGAACUGAGACACGGCCCAUACUCCUACGGGAGGCAGAAGUGGGGAAUAUUGGACAAUAGGCGAAAGCCUGAUCCAGCAAUGCCGCGUGAGUGAUGAAGGCCCUAGGGUUGUAAAGCUCUUUUACCCGGGAUGAUAAUGACAGUACCGGGAGAAUAAGCCCCGGCUAACUCCGUGCCAGCAGCCGCCGUAACAC